rnacentral:rRNA from 1 species
CUUAACCAUAGAACUGCAUUGGAAACUGGUAACCUAGAGUAUGGGAGGGGGAGAUGGAAUUAGUGGUGUAGGGGUAAAAUCCGUAGAUAUCACUAGGAAUACCGAAAGCGAAGGCGAUCUCCUGGAACAAUACUGACGCUAAGGCGUGAAAGCGUGGGGAGCAAACGGGAUUAGAUACCCCGGUAGUCCACGCCCUAAACGAUGUUCACUAGUCGUCGGGAUGCUAGUCAUCUCGGUGAUGCACUUAACAGAUUAAGUGAACCGCCUGGGGAGUACGGUCGCAAGAUUAAAACUCAAAGGAAUAGACGGGGACCCGCACAAGUGGUGGAGCAUGUGGUUUAAUUCGAAGAUACGCGAAGAACCUUACCUAGCCUUGACAUAUUUUAGAACUCCGCAGAGAUGCAGAGGUGCCUUCGGGAGCUAAUUUACAGGUGCUGCACGGCUGUCGUCAGCUCGUGUCGUGAGAUGUUGGGUUAAGUCCCGCAACGAGCGCAACCCUCGUCACUAGUUACUAACGGUUCGGCCGAGGACUCUAGUGAGACUGCCUUCGUAAGGAGGAGGAAGGUGAGGACGACGUCAAGUCAUCAUGGCCCUUACGGCUAGGGCAACACACGUGCUACAAUGGCCAGGACAGUGAGACGCGAUACCGCGAGGUGGAGCAAAUCUAUAAACCUGGUCUCAGUUCGGAUUGUAGUCUGCAACUCGACUACAUGAAGCUGGAAUCACUAGUAAUCGUAGAUCAGCUAUGCUACGGUGAAUACGUUCCCGGGUCUUGUACUCACCGCCCGUCACACCAUGGGAGUUGAUUUCACCC